rnacentral:lncRNA from 1 species
GAUCAGAUGUUAAUUGCUUUGCAACCGUUUCUAAAUAUUGUUCAACUGGAGAAAUUACUAAACAUUACACAGCCACAGAGAACAUAAAAAUCGUUGAGGCAAUAGAAAAGGCGGCUAGAACACAUGGCGAAUCUUGCACAUACUGGAUUACUCGUUAUACUUUCACUGUUAACAAUAGAUUCCUCUUAUGCCCAGUCGUACAGUAACCGGAUCUCAAAAUUAUAUCAGGACUUGUCCAUCUCCAGUACGUGUUUGAAUGAAGCAGAG